rnacentral:rRNA from 1 species
CCUACGGGGAGCAGCAGUGAGGAAUAUUGGACAAUGGGCGCUAGCCUGAACCAGCGAAGUAGCGUGAAGGAUGAAUGCCCUAUGUGCUGUAAACUUCAUUUAUAGGGGAAUAAAGUGCAGUAUGUAUAUUGCUUUCCAUGUACCUUUUCAUUCCGGAUCGGCUAACUCCGUGCCAGCAGCCGCGGUUAUACGGAGGAUCCGGGCGUUAUCCGGAUUUAUGGGGUUUAAAGGGAGCGUAGUCGGGUUGUUAAGUCAGUUGUGAAAGUUUGCGGCUCAACCGUAAAAUUGCAGUUGAUACUGGCAUCCUUGAGUACAGUAGAGGUAGGCGGAAUUCGUGGUGUAGCGGUGAAAUGCUUAGAUAUCACGAAGAACUCCGAUUGCGAAGGCAGCCUGCUGGACUGUAACUGACGCUGAUGCUCGAAAGUGUGGGUAUCAAACAGGAUUAGAUACCCUUGUAGUC